CUGAGAUCAUAACCCGAGCCAAAGGCAGAUGCUUACUGACUGAGCCACCACAAGCCCAUGUAUUCACCCUGUUUCAUUUCGGUGGUUGUUCGGGGGGCUUCAGAACGGAGGCUGCUAUAAAUCAUUCUGCAGCGGACCAUCUUGAGCUCGGGUCAUUUUCCAAGGGCAGACACAUCUGUUGGACAACGCUCUGGAAGGAGAACUACGGGCCCCACUCAGCACCGUCACGAUACUCUCCCCAAAUCUGCUCAUCGACUCAACAAUGAAAACACUUCUUCCGGGCAGCCCCGGUGGCGCAGCAGUUUAGCGCCGCCUGCAGCUCAGGGCGUGAUCCUGGAGUCCCGGGAUCGAGUCCCACAUCGGGCUCUCUGCAUGGAGCCUGCUUCUCCCUCUGCCUGUGUCUCUGCCUCUCUCUCUCUCUCCCUCUGCAUCUCUAUGAAUAAAUAAAUAAAUCUAAAAAAAAAAAAAAACACUUCCUCCUGGAACCCUAAUCCACCUCGAACUUGCUCCCAUAGACUAUGGCCAUCAGGAUCAGGGUCCACAUCCUGCCUUU